GCCCGGUUAACUCAGUCGGUAGAGUGUGCGGCUCUUAACCGCAAUGUCGUGGGUUCGAGCCCCACAUUGGGCG